GAGAGCUGAAAGGAAAUUGCAGCGCUGAGCAAGCAGUGCAAUACCGGGGCUGUUUCUGCCAACUGACAACUGGAACAAUUCAGAGACUGGGAGGGAGAAGAAAUGUCCUGUGAUCGAGAGGACAGGAGGAGAGUCAGUGUUUUGAUUCUUAUCUCAGUGCUUCAAAGUUUCCUGGAUGAAAGAUAUGUUAAAAUCCUUACAAUCCUUCCCAAAAGUCUUCUAUAAUUCCUUCCAAAAAUACAGCUCUUCCCAAAUGGCCACUUCAGCAUAAUUGGCCAGUGUCAUUCACAUUCACAAGCAUUUGUUCACUUACUGACUUUUCAAAAGCUGAUGAAAACUGAAGCUUCUACCAGCCAUGCAAGACUAGAAACAGUCUGAGAGCUUUCACUCUUCAACCUCAGACACUGGGACUGCAACUUCACAGCUGGCUGAGGGCAGGAGUGGGAAGAUACCAGGACAGCCACAGAGUUUAUUGAUAGGACGUCAGCAGGGCACAUGGUUUGGGCAAGCACCAUCAGGCAGUGGAAAAUCCAGACAGCAAAUGGCUAAGUGCAGAAGGGGGAAUGAAAAAAAAACCCUCAAACAAGGGCCCUGUACUAUAUUUGCUUCUUUCACCUCUACUUAUUUAAUUCAUGUACAUGAGGUCCUUAUUGGAAGAUCAAAUAUUUUACUUGGCAACUUGUGUUUAAAAAGAAGGGUUUAUAUAUGAAUACAGAUUUUAAAUAGAAAACAGUUUAACUAAAAUUUUCAAUGCAUACAAAGCAUUCUUUCAUGAGUAACAUUUGCCUACUGUUCUCCUAACAGGUAAAGUAAAUUGUACUGAAUUCUGUCUUGCCAUAAUUGUUACCAACUGAGCAUAGGAUGAGAAUGUUAACUAUUCAAGCAAUGUGCACUAGUUCUAGCAUUCACACUGGAAGACCUUCAAAAGGAAAAACACCCCAUCUGAAGCUUUAUGCAUGGCAAAUAUUGCAUGAGCAGUCUUACUGGAUUUGGAAGUUAGCUAUGAGGCUGCAAGUCCCUCUGGAGAAACACUUAAUCAAGCAAUUGCAGAAAAAAAGAUGGGUAAUGAAGCAUAUUUUUGAAAAUACAGAAUAUGUCUGAUUUGCAUAUUCCUACUGAAAGUGAGCACAUAUUCAUCUGCAGAAACAUGGGAAAAAUAAAAGUCAGCAAACACCAUUUAAAACAGCUUCUUCUCACCCAAUAAAAUGCUCAGUAAGUCAUUGCUAAUAUGUUUGCAAAACAUACGUGAUACUGUUAUAUGCUUCUGAAUUUUGCUAUUUAAUUCUAAUAUUAAUGUAUUAAAAUGUCCAAAAUUUUAUGUACCACAAAAUAUGAUCCACAUUCUAGCUGCAAAAACAAAACCCAACGAUUAAAAAAAAAAACCCCAGAAAAUAAAAUACAUUUUUGGUCAAGAGGUGAGAAGAAUUGCCAAAAAAUGUACCUGAAGGUUAAGGCUGGGUAGAGUAGCAAGGAAUUAUGCUAUUUCCAAUAAGAAUGUUGCAGAGUUUUGCAGUCCCAUGGGAGCAGUUAGUGCCAACAAGUUAUUCUGGUUUUACAUGCUUGUGCUUCCCACAGCCAGCCUAUGCAUCACAUGAUACAUAUACUGUGGCUGAUUUAGAAAUUUUAAAAAGCCUCCUAAAAGCCAUUUCCCCCAAAACCUCUACAUGUAUUUUAAUUAGCAGUGUAGCUUUAAAAAGAAGGAUAAAAAAUUAGAUUAACUUCAGAUGACUGCUCUCAAAAUAUUUCAGAUUACACUGGAUAUUAAACCAAGAAAACAGUCACUCAAAGCAAUGUCAUGAACUUAAUUUGGUAUUUUCAGUCCUCAGCCACCAUUUGUUAUCCUUGUUGGAAUGUAGCAACUGGUGCAGUGCUUUAAAAUACGCUGCUGUUAAAUAUGCAGACUGUAUAUUUCAGCUGUUGGUCUUUUCAGGGCUGUAUCAUGUUCCUCUGUAUCUACCAGGUGUCCACAGUAAAUAGUAAAACUGACAAAUCUUUUCACAGGAAA